CUGGGGUCCUGUUGGAGAAGCACUUCUGAGACGGCGUUCACGGUGGGAGGAGAAGACAGGCUGAGGCCAUGGUCAAGACUCUGUCCUGACAAGGACCACAGUCUCAGAUUCUGAGGAGCCCAAAGGCUAGAUUUUAGGAGACCGAGGCCCCAAUGUCACAAAGAUGGAGAAUAAUGGAGGAGCUCCCACUAGAACCCAGGUCCUCCGGGAUUUGGUUACUCAACCUGGAUUCUGUUGCCACGGACAAGCUAAGGAUUUUUGUCCCAGGCUGAAAGUCGCUGUGAGGAUGGAAAACACCCAGCGAACCCCCAGGAGCUUUGGUUGCCAAGUUAUGGAAGCCACAGCAAUCGCUCCCUGAUGGCUGUUUGCUCAUAGAGCCAAGAACGACCAAAUAUAUCAUCCGGGAGUCGACCCUCACAAGCAGACAGAUUGGUCCAGCUUCCAUCUCUGAAACAGCUUGCUGGGGGCAUCUGUUUCUUUCGAGAACAAACCCAUGUUUAUACCCAAAUGAUGCAGUCCUAUGGGUUCCUCCUGGAUGAGGGCCGAAGCCCAUGAGCCUUUGGUACUCAUUUGGUGGAUUUGUUACCCUGGACUCACCUUGCCCAUCACUGUUGGGGUGAACUUCUCCCUCUGCUCCAUGCCUUAGGAGUUGACAAAAACAGCAUUG